rnacentral:rRNA from 1 species
UGAGGAAUAUUGGACAAUGGGUGAGAGCCUGAUCCAGCCAUCCCGCGUGAAGGACGACGGCCCUAUGGGUUGUAAACUUCUUUUGUAUAGGGAUAAACCUACUCUCGUGAGAGUAGCUGAAGGUACUAUACGAAUAAGCACCGGCUAACUCCGUGCCAGCAGCCGCGGUAAUACGGAGGUGCAAGCGUUAUCGGAUUUAUUGGGUUUAAAGGGUCCGU